GCGCCCGUAGCUCAGCUGGAUAGAGCGUUGGCCUCCGGAGCCAAAGGUCAGAGGUUCGAAUCCUCUCGGGCGCG
rnacentral:tRNA from 1 species